rnacentral:rRNA from 1 species
GGGAAACCCUGAUGCAGCAACGCCGCGUGAGGUAUGAAGGCUCUUGGGUGUGUAAGCCUCUGUCCUAGGGGAAGAAAAAAAUGACGGUACCCGAAGGAGGAAGCCCCGGCUAACUACGAUGCCAGCAGCCGCGGUAAUACGUAGGGGGCAAGCGUUAUCCGGAAUUAUUGGGCGUAAUAGAGUGCGUAUGUGGUCUACUAAGCGCGAGGUGAAAGGCAAUGGCUCAACCAUUGUUAGCCUUGGCGAACUGGCAGCACUUGUAGUGCAAGAGAGGAAAGCGGAAUACUCUAGUGUAACGGUGAAAUGCGCAGAUAUUUAGGAGGAACACCGGCGGCGAAUGGCGGCUUACUGGAUUGUAACUGACACUGAGGCACGAAAGCGUGGGUAGCAAACACGAUUAGAUACCCUGGUAGUCCACGACCGUAUACGAUGACACUAAGGUGUC